UACGGAGGUGGCAAGCGUUGCUCGGAAUCACUGGGCGUAAAGGGCGCGUAGGCGGGGAGGUAAGUCGGGUGUGAAAUCCCUCGGCCCAACCGAGGAACUGCGCCCGAGACUGCUUCUCUUGAGUCCCGGAGAGGAGGGUGGAAUUCCCGGUGUAGCGGUGAAAUGUGUAGAGAUCGGGAGGAACACCGGUGGCGAAGGCGGCCUUCUGGACGGUGACUGACGCUGAGGCGCGAAAGCGUGGGGAGCAAACGGG
rnacentral:rRNA from 1 species